GCGAGAACCAGUGUGAACACAUGGCAAUUUUGUAAUUAUAUUAUGUUUAAUAUAAAACACGCUCAUUCCUUUUUUGUCACUGUUCUCCAUUUUUAGGGUUUCAAGGGGUUUCAUCAGUUCACAGUUUUCACAAGUGGCAGAGACGCAUUCACGGUGGUUUCACGGUAGAGUAGAGGCGUUCAUGGUGGUUUUCACGGCGGCGUUCACAUAUUUCACGGUGGUGGCAGUCGGCACAAUGUUUACGGUGGCAUAUAGCGUCUUCUGAUUCAUCAGGAACAUUCAUACACAAUGAAGCUGCUACGAUUGCUGCUGGAAUUCCGUACCCCCCCCUAACGAUGAAACCAAUUCUUAUUCCGAUGAUGAUAAUGAUACUAAUGAUGAUACAUAUGAUGAUUCUGAAUACCCUUCACAUACAAAUGUACAUGAACAACCCCUUAGACGUUUAUCCAGACGUCAUAAUGCACCCAACCAUCAAAAAUUUGAUUAAGUUUGUCGUCAAAAUAUUGAUCAUUUUGUUUUAUUAUUCGUUUUACAUUUAAUCUAAACUGUUUACAUUCAAGUUGCUCACCUA